AACAAGUCCUUCCCGACGUUUGAAGAAAGAAUAUGCAAACCUGAGGAGCAGGCUUGGUUAUGAACAUUACUACAAUCCAGAAGAUGGAAGUGGACACCUGGCUUGGAGGAUUAAAACGCUGCAGAAAGAUGCAUCUGACGGGAGGCUGAAAAGGCCACGAUAACACAAACAGGCUGAGACAGUGAUUUGUCAAUCCUGAUACUGGUUCAUCUUUUGCUACCCUCCAGCCAAGGCCGCAAAAGACCAGGAAAAAUCUCAGCUGGACAUACAUGUGAUUGCCUUGUGACAUUUGUCAAGACAGUUACCGGUAUUCAAGGGCACUUGGAUCGCAUCAGAGAGGGUCUCCAGCCAUAUCUGGUGUUUACUGCUCUACCUGCCCAUCAUGUUUGGAGAUCUUGUAUGCACUAAUGAUCAUCACUGGUAUUUGUUAAUUUUAUUGCUUCAGAUUGUCAACAUGAUGUUUUCUACCGUUAUAUCCAAUGGAAUCACCAUUUAUUUGAAGCAUUUGAUUAUGGACCACCUCAGUUUAUUUAAGCAUUUGUUUCCUGAAAAUGAUACUUUGUUGCCAAAGCAUAAUUUUAUGGUGCAUUAGUCCAGUUGUAUGCAGAAAAUUUGACAACUGUUACAGGAAAGCAUAUGUUUUCAAAAUGCAGCUAAAAAUCUUUAAAAACAAAUACUUUGUCAAAGAAAAACCAGUGCCAAAUGGCUUAUAUUUGGCAAACAUUUGUUACAAAUGAAAUGAAAUUAGGUCCUGGUAGGGUUGUCACAAUACUGGAAUUCGGUACCAAUUUAUACUGAAGUUUUAAAGACGUCCAUUUCCCCGAUAACAUUUGAGCGCUGAUUUGUCAUUGUGUUCAGUUGCUCAACAGAAAUGACUAUUGGCGGUGAAGCUAAUCAGUUCACCAAACCCACCGCUGUUACGGUGAUACAGGGAUACUGGAAUGUUUUAAAGACACGUAGAUCAGCUUGUUUGUCUAUAAGCUGACAUAUGAGCGAUGCACUGAUGAAUUGCGGCUUUAAAACGCUCCAAUGUCCCUGUG